rnacentral:ncRNA from 1 species
CCCCUACGGACGGUAUGAACGGCAUCCGGUAGCGAGAAUCGGGUGGGGG